AGGUCUCCGCGUUCUUACACUGCUCACACAUGUAGCCUCCCAUUCAAAUGCAAACCAGGGUGGACCCUGCUUAUUCCAGGUGAGAUCUGACUAGUCAGUGUAGAACAGAGUGGAACCAUUACCUCCCCCGUUCUGGACUCUCUGCUUCUGUUCACACAGCACAAGUUUGCAUUAGCUUUUCUUUUAGCAGGAACUGGGUAGGUAAGGAUCAGAAUCUGCUAGAGUUUAUUCUGCUUAGGCCAUGUCAAGGUUUUUGUUUUGCAUUUAACCCAGUAGAGGUGUUAGCUACUGAUUUUGUGUAUUUUAGGUUGAUUAAAUCCCAGCAGUACAUUUAGAGCAAUUAGACACACAUCUAAUGCCGUGCAUUUAUCCUGUGUUGUCUGGAUGAGAACUGGAAUACGUGUCCUCCCAAGGUCUGGGGGCAUCACAUGGGUAUUAUACAGGAACCCAGCGCCGGCAGUCUUUCUCAAGGAGCAGCAAUUGUGGAUUCUCACCAAACCCUCGCUCACACACCCUGAAAGCUCUGUUUGCAAAUCAGUAUUCCAUUAACGCUAUGUCGUAAUAAAUGAAUACACAAAUUGGUAGCCAGGAGACAAGGCAGAGUCAAGUAUUAAUAUGCAGACAUUUUCAAAAUAUAUGAGCGGAGGAUCUCGCUCAGAUAAAAAUGAUGGAAGCUGGCAGGAGGAUAUAACUACAGAGACGGGAGAGCAGCAGAGGGAAAUGGCAGUGCACCUCUGCUCACUUUUCAGAUGCACCUUUCAAGCUGCUGUUGGAAACUCCCCAACAAGACCUGGUAUUCUGACAUCUGAGAUAUGGUGAAAAUUGCUUGCGAACAUCAAGAAAUGAACCGGCACCCAUGAAACCUCGCGUAGAAUUCUGCCGUCCCCCAACAAAGCUGACUUCCUGUUUUCAGGACCUGAAUUCCGGCCCCACCCCAGUUUCUUUCAAGUUGAAUUUGUAUAUAAUUAAAUUGUGAAGAUUUGUGUGUGUUUUCAAAGUUGCUUGCAAUUAGUCAGAAUACCACGCAGUAAGAAAUGACUGCAUUUCCACUUAGGCAAAUAAUUGCUUUAGCCUUUACCCAAAGUUCUCUUCUUUUAAUGAUGUUUAUUAAUUAGAGACAGCAAUAUGUUUAAAUGGAAAACUAAUUUGGGCAUUUUCUU